UACGUAGGGGGCAAGCGUUAUCCGGAAUUAUUGGGCGUAAAGAGCGUGUAGGCGGUCCGGUAAGUCAGCUGUGAAAGUCAAGGGCUCAACCCUUGAAUGCCGGUUGAUACUGUCGGGCUAGAGUCCGGAAGAGGCGAGUGGAAUUCCCGGUGUAGCGGUGAAAUGCGCAGAUAUCGGGAGGAACACCAAUGGCGAAGGCAGCUCGCUGGGACGGUACUGACGCUGAGACGCGAAAGCGUGGGGAGCAAACAGG
rnacentral:rRNA from 1 species